rfam:Candidatus Nitrosotalea devanaterra genome assembly, chromosome: 1
GCCAACGUAGCUCAGCCUGGCUAGAGCAUCUGACUUGUAAUCAGAAGGUCGAGGGUCCAAAUCCCUUCGUUGGCU